rnacentral:rRNA from 1 species
UGCGUAGGGGGCAAGCGUUGUCCGGAUUUAUUGGGCGUAAAGAGCUCGUAGGCGGCUUGUCGCGUCGUCCGUGAAAACCCGGGGCUCAACUCCGGGCUUGCGGGCGAUACGGGCAGGCUAGAGUUCGGUAGGGGAGACUGGAAUUCCUGGUGUAGCGGUGAAAUGCGCAGAUAUCAGGAGGAACACCGGUGGCGAAGGCGGGAUCUCUGGGC